GUUAAGCGACUAAGCGUACACGGUGGAUGCCCUGGCAGUCAGAGGCGAUGAAGGGCGUGCUAAUCUGCGAUAAGCGCCGGUAAGGUGAUAUGAACCGUUAUAACCGGCGAUACCCGAAUGGGGAAACCCAGUGUGACUCGUCACACUAUCAUUAACUGAAUCCAUAGGUUAAUGAGGCGAACCGGGGGAACUGAAACAUCUAAGUACCCCGAGGAAAAGAAAUCAACCGAGAUUCCCCCAGUAGCGGCGAGCGAACGGGGAGGAGCCCAGAGCCUGAAUCAGCAUGUGUGUUAGUGGAAGCGUCUGGAAAGGCGCGCGAUACAGGGUGACAGCCCCGUACACAAAAGCGCAUGUGCUGUGAGCUCGAUGAGUAGGGCGGGACACGUGGUAUCCUGUCUGAAUAUGGGGGGACCAUCCUCCAAGGCUAAAUACUCCUGACUGACCGAUAGUGAACCAGUACCGUGAGGGAAAGGCGAAAAGAACCCCGGCGAGGGGAGUGAAAAAGAACCUGAAACCGUGUACGUACAAGCAGUGGGAGCACAGGUUUACCUGUGUGACUGCGUACCUUUUGUAUAAUGGGUCAGCGACUUAUAUUCUGUAGCAAGGUUAACCGAAUAGGGGAGCCGGAGGGAAACCGAGUCUUAAUUGGGCGUUAAGUUGCAGGGUAUAGACCCGAAACCCGGUGAUCUAGCCAUGGGCAGGUUGAAGGUUGGGUAACACUAACUGGAGGACCGAACCGACUAAUGUUGAAAAAUUAGCGGAUGACCUGUGGCUGGGGGUGAAAGGCCAAUCAAACCGGGAGAUAGCUGGUUCUCCCCGAAAGCUAUUUAGGUAGCGCCUCGUGAAUUCAUCUCCGGGGGUAGAGCACUGUUUCGGCUAGGGGGCCAUCCCGGCUUACCAACCCGAUGCAAACUGCGAAUACCGGAGAAUGUUAUCACGGGAGACACACGGCGGGUGCUAACGUCCGUCGUGAAGAGGGAAACAACCCAGACCGCCAGCUAAGGUCCCAAAGUCAUGGUUAAGUGGGAAACGAUGUGGGAAGGCCCAGACAGCCAGGAUGUUGGCUUAGAAGCAGCCAUCAUUUAAAGAAAGCGUAAUAGCUCACUGGUCGAGUCGGCCUGCGCGGAAGAUGUAACGGGGCUAAACCAU
rnacentral:rRNA from 1 species